AUAGAUCAGUGUGAAGCGAGACGUUGCGGGAGGCGGUUGUUUUUGUUAGUUACUGAGUUGUUUGAAAAAUUGUCUGGAAUUGGUUUGUUGUGUUGAAUUUUAAGAAGCAACACCUGAACAUUGAUUUUCGAUGUCACCAUGGGACGCUAUCAAAGAACGACUGAAAGGCAGAGCUGGUCUAAUGAAAGCAUGGUUGGAGCAAUUCAAGAAGUUUUAGAUGGGAAAAUGGGCUACAGAAAAGCAUCUAAAGCCUACAGAGUGCCACAAACUACCUUGGAGAGAAAGGUAAAACAGGCUCGCCAAAAGGGGUUGUCUUCCGAAGCAGCUGCUGAAAAAAGGUUAGGUAGGUAUAAAACAGUUUUCUCAGAUAUUCAAGAACGAGAAUUAGUGGAUCACAUAUUAUUUUUGGAGCAGAGAUUGUUUGGCCUAACUCUCACAGAUUUACGAACGCUCGCAUUUGAGUUAGCUGAAAAAAACAACCUCCCCCAUGUAUUUAAUACAGAAAAGAAAAUAGCUGGGAAGGACUGGUUGUAUGCUUUUCUAAAACGCCAUCCUGCACUAGCUUUACGUGACCCUGAGAAAACUUCAAUGGCAAGAGCAAAGGGCUUCAAUCGUAUAUCAGUCGGCAAAUUCUUUGAUUUGUUGGAAUACCUGUUUAACAAAUAUAAAUUCUCACCCAACGAUGUUUACAAUGUUGAUGAAGGAGGUGUGUUGACAGCACCAAACAAGCCAUCCAAAAUUCUUGCUUUAUGUGGUAAAAAACAGGUAGGAUGUCUGACAUCAGCAGAACGAGGGGUGCUUGUGACAGCAGAAAUAUGUAUGAAUGCUGCAGGUAAUUUCAUGCCCCCUAUGUUUGUGUUUCCUAGAAAGAGAGAAAACCCCCUUUUGAUGGAUGAUGCCCCCCCUGGAUCAUUCGCUGUGUACCACGAGACUGGCUGGAUUACCAAGGAAACAUUCCUUGCUUGGUUCAGGAGGUUUCUAAAGUUUUCUAACCCAGGACCUCAGAAACCAGUGUUGUUAAUCCUUGAUGGCCACAGUUCCCAUACAAAGAGUUUGGAACUGAUAAAUCUUGCUCGAGAAAAUAAUGUUGUGCUGUUGACCUUUCCUCCACACACAACACAUCCUAUGCAGCCCCUCGAUGUGUCAUUCAUGGCACCACUUUCUGCCUUUUAUGAACAAGAGGUUAGAAAAUGGCUGAUAAAUCACCCUGGGCGUUGUGUUACAAUUUAUCAAAUAGGAAAACUGUUCAACUGCAAUAAAAGGAUUCUAAAAAACAGGGAUUUAUCCCUUGAACCAAGAUAUUUUCCCUGAACAUCUAUUUGCACCAUCAGAAACUACAGAACAGCCACUUGGUAGAACUGACAGUUAUGAACAGCAGGAAAUGACAGAUGUUAGGAGCAGUGGUCCUACAGUACUAACAACGGGACUCCAGACAUCAACAUCUUCAUGCAAUUCUAUGAUGGUGGAGGCUCAGCCAUCUAGGCCUACUUCCAGUUCUAUGAUGUUGAAGUCCCAGCCAUCUACUUCUAGUUCUAUGAUGUUGAAGUCCCAGCCAUCUAUUUCCAGGCCUUAUAUGGUGGAGUCUCUGCAAUCAUCUUCCAGACCUACUAUGGUGGAGCCUCAGCCAUCUUCUCCCAAGCCUAACACAAUGAAGGAGUCCCAGCCAUCUACUUCCAGUCCUACACCAAUGGAGGUGUUCCAGGUAUCAACGUCCAAACCUACAACAUUGGAGGAGUCCCAGCCAUCAACUUCCACAUCUACAACAUUGGAAGAGUCCCAGCCAUCAACAUCUAGGUCAUGUGGCUCAGCUUUUAUAAUUUCACCAAAAGUGCUUAUGCCACCUCCCCAGGAAAAAGAACGCAUUAAAAAAGCAAAGAAUGACAAGAGGAGAGGAAAAACACUCAUACUCACUUCAUCCCCUUACAAAGCAGAACUGGAAGUAGAAGAACGGGAAAGGAACACACAAAAAUGUGUUAAACAAAAAACAAAUCUUCUUAAAAUACUUAAUAAAUUUACUAAUCCUAAGAUCAAAAAAAGUAAGCAAAGGAAGGUAGAAAACUCAGCAUCAUCUGAAGAAGAGGAGGAAGAGAAAGAAACAAACGAGGCUUGCAUAUUCUGUAAUGAACUAUACAUACAUUCAAAGAAUAGAGAGACAUGGAUUCAGUGUUGUAGUUGUCAAGGAUGGGCGCAUGAAGCCUGUUCGAGUGCUGAAGAAGAAAAUGACACAUUUAUAUGCGACUUUUGUGCCUAAUAGCUUAAGUAAAGUAAGUGUCUGACUAUCUACAGUGUGAAUAUUCUUUGAAAAACUAAAAAUGACUGAAAUGCAUUUCAUUGCUGAAAUUAGUGUGUCUAAUAAAAAUGUUGUGCAACAUUCUAA